UACGGAGGGGGCUAGCGUUGUUCGGAAUUACUGGGCGUAAAGCGCGCGUAGGCGGCUUUGUAAGUUAGAGGUGAAAGCCGGACGCUCAACUCCGGAAUUGCCUUCGAUACUGUAGAGCUUGAGACCGGAAGAGGUAAGUGGAACUGCGAGUGUAGAGGUGAAAUUCGUAGAUAUUAGGAAGAACACCGGUGGCGAAGGCGGCUCUCUGGGACGGUACUGACGCUGAGACGGCGAAAGCGGUGGGGAGCGAACAGG
rnacentral:rRNA from 1 species